ACAAGUUAUGUUCACAGAAAGCUUACCACUGAAGCAUACUUAUUUGGCAAAGGAGUUUAGUUAGUUCUUGUAGCAGUAACUGAAUUAGCAUCGUAUACUGCAUACUGUUUUGCAAUGUGCGCUUGUAUACAAGAUACACGUGAGAUAUUAAUUACCAUUUUAUAAUAGUGAAUAAUUUUUUUCAGUUUUCCGUGGGAAUUGCAGAGGUGAAGAGAACCGGAAGCGCUGCUUAACUGACUGGUCACUUUGAUUUAAUCUUCUCUUCCGAGAGACCUAGAGGCAAAGUACUCGCCCUGCGUGAAGAGGUCCUGGGUGGUCUUGAGUGCUCCCUCCCCCCUUGUGAACUGGUACAUGGAGAAGGCCAUGGAGGACAUGUUUUUGGCACGCUUCACUAUGUCAUUAUCCUCAUCUUGGGUGAUCCGCUCCUCCCACUUCUCCGUCUCCUGGUCCACCUGCAAGAUGUUUCUCAGGAAGCGGUCAGCGUACUCGUCCAGCCGCUCCUGGUCAGUGGCAAGGCCUGCGUUCUUGAGGGCACUGAUCAGCUCACUCUCCUCACAUGCACCACGCACCAACUCCUCAGCCUGGGGGAAGGAAUGCCAAUGUGAGAAUUUUAAGAAAGCUGCAAGAAGGGUCAUAAUUAUGAACUUUAGGUUAGAAUUAUGGGCUGUUCAGGUGAUCUUUUGAGGACUGGGGGCAUUGCAGAAACACUCGAUACUUGUAGGAGGUUCUUCUUGUGGCAAAGGUAGAAAAUACAAAGGGGACAUGUAGGGACACAUUACAGUUUUCCAGUACUGAAUAAUACAUGAAUCAAGGUUUGUCUAUUACAAUGAAGUGACAUGACAGGUAGGAAUAAGAGGGAUUAAUAGAUAUAGGAGCAGAGAUCAUAAAACUCUUGUGAGAAAGAGAGAAAGAAGAGGAAACUUGAGAGGAAUGGAUGGUUUAAGAAAAGAAGGCAA